UGUCCGAUGGUGUAAUUGGCAACACGUCUGAUUUUGGUUCAGAAGAGUCCAGGUUCGAGACCUGGUCGGACAACUA
rnacentral:tRNA from 1 species